CCUAUUUCACACGCAAUAGUUUCGAGCUGACACAAAGAGUUAUAUAAAAACAAACAUGGAUAUCAGAAGUGCACUGGUUCUUGCCUUAGUUCUAAGACCUGUUCAGUGUAAGGCUAGUUGUCACAAUGGAACUAAACUAGACAAGUAUGAUCUAGUGAAUCGACUGCUAGAUGAAGAUAAUUGUAAACCGAAAAUGCCACCAAAUUACAACACAGAUGGACCUGUAACAGUUUCUGUCCAGAUUUCAAUUUAUGAUAUGCAAGGCCUGAGGGAUGAAACAAUGGAUUACGAGUGUACCUUAUAUAUCAGACUAAACUGGACAGACGAACGAUUAGAUUACUCACAAAUAGCUUCAUAUGAUUACCUUACACUCACUGGUGAAGAUAUUCGUAGAUACUGGGUACCAGAUUUAUACUUCCAUCAUGAAAAAGAAGCAAGUUAUCACGAAGUGUUUCGUUCUAACGAAUUAGUUUAUAUUGAACAGAAUGGAAGUGUAACGUAUUCUGCAAGAUUGACGAUUCUUUCCCACUGCCAGCUAGACUUUUAUUAUUACCCUUUUGACAAACAGAGUUGUGACAUCAUUGUACAAAGCUAUACAUCAAAGGCAGAUGACCUCAUUUUACAAUGGACAAAGAAAUCUCCGUUCAAAGUUCAAGGGACAAAAUACAUUUCUAUUAUCGAUAAUUCUACCACAAGUUCCUUCAGUUCACCAUACGCUGAUCCUCUUGGAAAUUAUUCAACUCUGCGCGCAAACCUUCGUUUCAGAAGGGCUCAGAAAAGAUAUGACGUCAUGUACAUAGCGCCUCCAGUUGUCUUCUUUCUGGUUUCAAUUUUAUCCGUCUUACUGCUGGACGUCGAUGACCUUAAAGCUGAAAUUGAUUCACGAGUAGGCCUAUGCACUGGAAUGUUGAUUUCAACAGUAAUGUUAUGGGGAGGAAUUUACGCAAAACUCCCACCGGUGGCAAUACUGACCAUGCUGGAUACAUGGAUGGUUGUGCAUGUUGGUCUGAUAGCAACUACCAUUGUUUUAAAUUUGAUAAUAUAUCGUCGGGGAUGCUGCAAGCUCUACGGGUGCAUCUGGAAAGUCAUUGCUGUACCGCUUGGUGUGUUUUGUGCCAUCUACAUAACUUUCUCCAUUACUUUUACUUCUCUUUGGAAGGCGGCAUAGUUCAUUGAUUACAUCCCUUGAUAAAAAUGGCAAAUGACUUUCUUGUUUCAAAAUGGAGAAUGUGGUUUUCCUGGUUUGACCACAACAAAGACGGCAGAAUUAGUACGGAAGACUCAGAGAGUGUUGGGAAUAAAUUUGCCAACCUUCAUCAUUUAAAUGCGCAGCGGAAGAAGGUUGCUGUGGACACGUUCUCUGCAUGGUCGAAUGAGUAUGUAAUGUGGGGCAAGUCUGAAAUCACGGAAGCCGAGUUUAUCGAGUGUCAAAGAAGGGCAUUUGAGACCGAUAAAGAAGAAUUUGGAAGACGAAUGCGGGAAAACGAGGAACUAGUAUGUAAUUUAAUGGAUAUGGAUAGCGAUGGAAUGAUUACAGUGGAAGAUCAUAUGAUCAUAUGUAAGUCGACUGAACAUAACGACGAGGCUUAUUACCGGAAGUGUUUCGAUGUUUAUAGUCCUGAUGAUGGGAAAGUUCCGGUGAAAACACUGGUAGAGUUUUGGACACGAUAUCUUACCUGCGACGAUGACACCAAACCAGAUGCGCUUGUGCAAUUCUUUAAGGCUGACAUUUAAUCGCUUUCAGGGACUCUAUAGUUCAUAUUGCUGUCAAUAUAAACAUUAUGUUUACCGUGAACUUUUAUAGCUGAAUGAAGUCUAAAGCUUAACAUUAAUUGGUGUAACCCUGUCACAUGUUGUUUUUGAAGAAUAGGCAACUUAGUUGUAUUUAGAAAUCUAAAAAAGCUUCCUGACAUAAUUGCUGCAUAAUAAAGAGCCUAACGUGUACAUAAAAAUGUUAUUUGUUUUUAUCCCCAUAUAAAUAACAUCUAAAUUUCAUCUCAGAUUAAAACUUAUUUCAGCUGUAGAUUUAAAUAUUACAAUGGUUUCUAUAGCUUGCUGAAAACUCUUUUCCCGAUCGGAUAAACUUAUUGUCC